AAUAGAUACCCGGGUAGUCCACGCCGUAAACGAUGAGUGCUAAGUGUUAGAGGGUUUCCGCCCUUUAGUGCUGCAGCUAACGCAUUAAGCACUCCGCCUGGGGAGUACGACCGCAAGGUUGAAACUCAAAGGAAUUGACGGGGGCCCGCACAAGCGGUGGAGCAUGUGGUUUAAUUCGAAGCAACGCGAAGAACCUUACCAGGUCUUGACAUCCUCUGACCUCCCUAGAGAUAGGGCCUUCCCCUUCGGGGGACAGAGUGACAGGUGGUGCAUGGUUGUCGUCAGCUCGUGUCGUGAGAUGUUGGGUUAAGUCCCGCAACGAGCGCAACCCUUGACCUUAGUUGCCAGCAUUCAGUUGGGCACUCUAAGGUGACUGCCGGUGACAAACCGGAGGAAGGUGGGGAUGACGUCAAAUCAUCAUGCCCCUUAUGACCUGGGCUACACACGUGCUACAAUGGAUGGUACAAAGGGCUGCGAGACCGCGAGGUUAAGCCAAUCCCAUAAAACCAUUCUCAGUUCGGAUUGCAAGGCUGCAACUCG
rnacentral:rRNA from 1 species